AUGGGCAGCACGUGCGGCCCCAACCUGCAGGGGGACCUCACGCCCACCCUGGCUUCAGGCUGGGCCCCAGAUGCUCACAGUCAUGCUGGGCCAGGUCACUCGCCCUCUCUGUGCCUGUUUGCCCAGGGCAGAGGGGCGGUGGGCAUCGUCCCAUCCACGUGGGGCUGUCAGGGGUCUCACAGCGUGUCCUGUGUUGCAGCGAACCCCACCAGGCCCACACUCUUCCCACUGAGCCUCUGUAGCACCGACUCAGCUGGUCACGUGGUCAUCGGCUGCCUGGUCCAGGACUUCUUCCCGUCGGCGCCCAUGAACGUGACCUGGGGCAGCAGCGGGCCGGGCACCUCCAUCCAGAACUUCCUUCCCGCGCUCACCUCCCGGGGCCUGUACACCAUGGUCAGCCAGCUGACCCUGCCGGCUAGCCAGUGCCCAGAGGGCGUGACCCAGAGGUGCCAAGUACAGGACCACUCCAGCGCCAUCCAGACAAAGGAUGUGCCCUGCAAAGUUUGCCCGCCGACGCCCACAACAUGCUCAUGCUGCGAGCCCCGCCUGACCCUGCGCCCGCCAGCCCUCGAGGACCUGCUCCUGGGCUCCAACGCCAACCUCACAUGCACACUGAGUGGCCUGCAGAAGCCCCAGGGCGCCAGCUUCAGCUGGAACCCCACGAGCGGGAAGGAUGCCAUCCAGGAGGCCCCGCAGCGCGAUGCCUGCGGCUGCUACAGCGUGUCCAGUGUCCUGCCGGGCUGCGCCGAGCCGUGGAACCGCGGGCAGAGGUUCACCUGCACCGCCACCCACUCUGAGGCCAAGAACCCACUCACCGCCACCAUCGCCAGAGCCUCAGGGAACACCUUCCCACCCCAGGUCCACCUGCUGCCGCCGCCCACAGAGGAGCUGGCCCUCAACGAGCUGGUGACGCUGACGUGCGUGGUGCGGGGCUUCUACCCCGCCGACGUGCUGGUCCGGUGGCUGCACGAAAACCAGGAGCUGCCCCGAGAGAAGUACCAGACGUGGAGCCCCCUGCCCGAGGCCGGCCAGGGCAGCGCCACGUUCGCCGCGACCAGCGUGCUGCGCGUGGACACCGAGGCGUGGAAGAACGGGGACAACUACUCCUGCAUGGUGGGCCACGAGGCCCUGCCCCUGAGCUUCACGCAGAAGACCAUCAACCGCCUGGCGGGUAAACCCACCCAUGUCAACGUGUCCGUGGUCUUGUCAGAGGUGGACGGCACCUGCUACUGAGCCACCCGCCCGCCUGCCCCGCCCUUAAAUAAACUCUGUG